UUUUUUUGUGAUAGUAUAAUUUAAGAUAUUGGAGGAGGUUAAAAGAGUUAUUAUAAGCCAAAUUCAAUAAUGCAAGGUAAUCAAUAUGUAUUGUGGAUUCAAUAUGAACUAUCAAGAAAACUAAAAUCAUUCAUAUACUUGGAUACGUUAUCCCUUAAUGUUAUAUAUUAACAUUUUAAAUUGUAAAAGUUUUAAUUUAUCCUUAUAGGUAAAUGUAACGAAUUGAUGAU
rnacentral:lncRNA from 1 species